UAUCUAUGAUGUGGACAUUGAACUAAAAACAAUUUAAAAUGUUCCCAAGCUUCAUGGAAUGGCUCACCUUCUAUUUGUGUAAGACUAGCAAUCUUACCUUGCAA